GCCCUCGUAGCUCAAUGGAUAGAGCAGUGGCCUUCUAAGCCAAAGGUUGCAGGUUCGAAUCCUGCCGGGGGCA
rnacentral:tRNA from 1 species